ensembl:lncRNA
GAGUGAAAGAGAUCUUUGGUUUUGCCUUUGCUGACUGCUGAUCUGAUCGUCUCAAGUCUGGUGACCUGCUGCAGAAAACCCUCUCCCUCUAUCAUUAACAAGCAAUUCAGUCUGUCCUAUCACUCUCCCUCUCCCUGCUCCAUCUUUUUUGACAAGCCAUUCUAUCUUCUAUCAUUUCUCCGCCACGAGCUCUAUCUAAGUUGACAAGCUUGAACCUGAGUUGAAAAGCAAAACAAGUUUGCCUGAAACCAAGUUUGCCUGAAACCAAGUUUGCCUGAAACCAAGUUUGAGAAGAAACCAAGUUUGAGAAGAAACCAAGUUUGAGAAGAAACCAAGUUUGAGAAGAAACCAAGUUUUUGGAAUUGAAGUUACCACAACUUCAUCGAUCUGUUUUCAGAAUUCGGAGAGAUCUCCGCUCUCAUGGCUCCUUCUUUCCUGUCAUUAAACUUUCAUAUCCACUCAUUUUGCUGGAAAUUACAAGUAAAAAGUUGAAUAUACAGUAGUAGAAUUACAGUACAGUAGAACUCACUGUAGAAACUACUUACAGAGCCCUACAUUUGUCAUUUUAAUUUUGCGUUACACUUUGAAAUAAACACUGAUAGUUUGGCUUUCAAUUGCAAUUUGAUAAAUUAUAUAAACUUAUAUACACCUUUUUUUAGAUAUAUUUGUAGUAAGAUAAUCUGGUUAUUUUGUAAUUCAGACUGUUAUAUUCACAUAAAUAUUAAAU